GAUGAACGCUGGCGGCGUGCCUAAUACAUGCAAGUCGAGCGAACGGACGAGAAGCUUGCUUUUCUGAUGUUAGCGGCGGACGGGUGAGUAACACGUGGAUAACCUACCUAUAAGACUGGGAUAACUUCGGGAAACCGGAGCUAAUACCGGAUAAUAUUUUGAACCGCAUGGUUCAAAAGUGAAAGACGGUCUUGCUGUCACUUAUAGAUGGAUCCGCGCUGCAUUAGCUAGUUGGUAAGGUAACGGCUUACCAAGGCAACGAUGCAUAGCCGACCUGAGAGGGGGAUCGGCCACGCUGGAACUGAGACACGGUCCAGACUCCUACGGGAGGCAGCAGUAGGGAAUCUUCCGCAAUGGGCGAAAGCCUGACGGAGCAACGCCGCGUGAGUGAUGAAGGUCUUCGGAUCGUAAAACUCUGUUAUUAGGGAAGAACAUAUGUGUAAGUAACUGUGCACAUCUUGACGGUACCUAAUCAGAAAGCCACGGCUAACUACGUG
rnacentral:rRNA from 1 species